AUGGCCCAGGUGCUUGGGCCCUGCACCCCAUGGGAGACCAGGAAAAGCACCUGGCUCCUGGCUCCUGCCAUCGGAUCGGUGCAGGUGCGCCGGCCGCAGCGCGCCGGCCGUGGCGGCCAUUGGAGGGUGAACCAACGGCAAAAGGAAGACCUUUCUCUCUGUCUCUCUCUCUCACUGUCCACUCUGCCUGUCAAAAGAAAAGGAGAACAGAAAGAAGGUAGAAUGUUAUGAGAAAAUGAAAAAGAAAGUAAAGAUAGGAAGAAAAAGGAAGAUGGGAAGUCAAGAGAAAACUACUUGUUUGUAAACUUCUUUGUAUUAAAAGAAAGUUGAAGCCGGCGCCGUGGCUCAAUAGGCUAAUCCUCCACCUUGCGGCGCCGGCACACCGGGUUCUAGUCCCGGUUGGGGCGCCGGAUUCUGUCCCGGUUGCCCCUCUUCCAGGCCAGCUCUCUGCUAUGGCCAGGGAGUGCAGUGGAGGAUGGCCCAGGUGCUUGGGCCCUGCACCCCAUGGGAGACCAGGAAAAGCACCUGGCUCCUGGCUCCUGCCAUCGGAUCAGCGCGGUGCGCCGGCUGCAGCGGCGGCCAUUGGAGGGUGAACCAACGGCAAAGGAAGACCUUUCUCUCUCUGUCUCUCUCUCUCACUGUCCACUCUGCCUGUCAAAAAUGACAAAAAAAAAAACAAACACAUACACAGGCGAGAUCAGACUAAAAGGAGGGUGGAGUCAUUCCUGACUGUAAAUAUUCUCUGAUAUUUGUAUUUGAGUGAUGAAGGCAAUGCCAGUCCUACUUCCUAACAGAGAAAUAUAUGCUCAAGUAUGAUAAAAAUGCUUUAAACAGUGAUAUUCAGAAACAUCUACAAUUAAAUGGAGGAAGCUUAAAGAUAGUUCACCUUCAGUUAUAUACUUCAAAUUAGAUAUUUCUUAUAUGAAAUAUUGUCAUAGCAGUUGCCAUGCAGAUUUAGAGAUUAAAAACAUUAAAUUAUCUAUCAAUUGUCAUCCAAAUCUAAUCAUUUUAAGAGAUAGUGGAACAGAAAAAAGCCUGAGGUUCUGGUAUGAAGCAGUUUGGCAUGCAACAUGUGUUAAUCAUACCAUAUGAGUCCUCAGUUAAAGUGGAAAGCUAAAGUUUUAUAGCUGAUAGUUGGGUCAGGAAUCUGAGGCACUAGGAACGAAAUAGUGAAUGACUGGAUACCCCAUUGGAUGACACUAGGAGAAGGAGUAAUGGCAAAAACAAUUACUCUUUGCCCCUUCAAAACAACUCACACAAGCUCCAAUCUUAGCUAAUCUAGCUCCUAACUGAGCUUUAGGAAUGUGCUUCCCUACCUAUUCUGCAGUUUCCUUAUGGAAAGGAACCUUGUCUUAUUCAUCUAAAUUUGUUUUUCACUUACCAUAAUUUCUAUCUCAUAGUAAUCAUUUUGAUACAUAAUUUCUGAAAAGGUAAUUAAACAAUGAAAAUUUUGUAGUAUAGUGGUUGAUGAAUUAAUGAGGCAGUGUCUGGAACUGAAAUCAAGUAGUGAUUGUCAGAGACCCCAGGAUUUGUAGUUAUGUCAGGUAGGAGAAGGUCCUUGGAGUUAUCACUCCAACAACUUCCACAGCAUUAUUGCUAUCUUUCAACACUGAGGAAUUUCGUCUACUUGGUGAAAUGUUUUCUGCUUGGCUACAUCUUCAGGAGUUGAAUUAUUUUUGCUAGCUUGUCUUCAGGAUCCAUCAAGAGCAAUCUCCUCCAUGUCACAGCACCUUUUCCUGAAAAAGAAUAAAAAUACAUUUGAGGGUUCA
rnacentral:lncRNA from 1 species